rnacentral:piRNA from 1 species
UGCCUGUUCUCUGUGCUCACGGAUAACAUG